GACUAGAAGGAAGAGAGGUCCCAGAUGCGUCCGCCCCGUUCCAACCUGCCUCUUUUCUCUCUCUCUCUCUCUCUCUCUCUCUCUCUCUCUCUCUCUCUCGCAGACCCACUCCACCCGCGGUGGCGUGCCAUCCGCCUCCGCACCAUCUUCCCCGGACACGCCUUCGCCUCGGCCGAAGCAGGAGUGGAGAUGGCAGUGAUUGCCGCUGUAGCUAACAGCAUCCGCAUACCCUUGUGGAGAUUAUUUGGGGGAGCAUCAAACACUGUGACAACAGACAUCACGGGACGUUUCAAAAAAAAACCAGACAUCACGAUUCCAAUUGUGACCCGAAAUGAAGCCGCUCAAUUGGCUGCAAAAUAUCAAGGACAAGGGUUUCAGACUCUGAAGCUCAAAGUAGGGAAAAACUUGAACUCAGACAUAGAAGUUCUGAAGGCUAUACGGCGACUGCUCAUUUAUCUUGGAUGCAAAUGAAGGGUACACAGCAAACCAUGCAAUUGAAGUUCUUGACAGACUAAACGAUUCUAUGAUGAUUGAUGCAAAGUCCGUGUUGUGCUCCUAUGAUCGAGGUAUAAAAGAAGCAGCAGAAAAUUGAGUACAUCGUUCUCUGUUGCGUCGAGGAUUGAUUCCAGUGCAACCUUUCACUGAAAUCAUAUGAAGUAGACUGCAGCCAUGAAUUAAUUUUCCUUCAUGAUGUCUACAUGACCUUUUGAGCGUUUGGAUAUGAUUUACGGAAUUUGCCGCAGGUCUGAUCCCUUGCGCGUGCUCCUCCGCUUGCCCUCUCGACCCUCCCCUUGCUCAUCGCCAUCCAUUUUAUUCAGAGUGUAGAUGGCGGGCAAAACACCUAAGCUCCAGAGCAAGGAUGAAAAGCACUCCAUACACACCCACAAGGAUGAUGAUCCAUCUGUUUCUAGGAUGGUGGGACUUGAGGUCCAACUGCGUAGGUAUGCACCAGAUUCAAGGAUCAGCUACUUGAUGAAAUAUACAGGAGACUCUCCUACUCAACAUUACCUUAAAAAAGAAUCAAGGAUCAGUUCAAUGGGAAUUGGAAUGAUGAAAACACUUGUUUGAGCACAUGUGAUCCUCAUAAUAGCACAUUUGUAAUAAAUCACUGUAGUCAAAUCACUUUUUUUUAUAAUUGUAUAGUAAAAUCACUUACUGUUGUGUAUAAGUGCCAUUAAGGAUCAACCUA